CGCCGCCGCUACCACUGCCU
rnacentral:misc_RNA from 1 species